UACGUAGGCAGCAAGCGUUGUUCGGAAUUACUGGGCGUAAAGAGUGUGUAGGCGGUGCUCUAAGUUCGGUGUGAAAUCUCCCGGCUUAACUGGGAGGGUGCGCCGGAAACUGGAGUGCUUGAGCGCGGGAGAGGAAAGCGGAAUUCCUGGUGUAGCGGUGAAAUGCGUAGAUAUCAGGAGGAACACCUGUGGUGUAGACGGCUUUCUGGACCGUAGCUGACGCUGAGACACGAAAGCGCGGGUAGCAAACAGG
rnacentral:rRNA from 1 species